rnacentral:rRNA from 1 species
ACGGGUGAGUAAUACAUCGGAACAUAUCCUGGAGUGGGGGAUAGCCCGGCGAAAGCCGGAUUAAUACCGCAUACGCUCUGAGGAGGAAAGCGGGGGACCUUCGGGCCUCGCGCUCAAGGGGCGGCCGAUGGCGGAUUAGGUAGUUGGUGGGGUAAAGGCCUACCAAGCCGACGAUCCGUAGCUGGUCUGAGAGGACGACCAGCCACACUGGGACUGAGACACGGCCCAGACUCCUACGGGAGGCAGCAGUGGGGAAUUUUGGACAAUGGGGGCAACCCUGAUCCAGCAAUGCCGCGUGUGUGAAGAAGGCCUUCGGGUUGUAAAGCACUUUUGUCCGGAAAGAAAUCAUCGGGGCCAAUACCCCUGGUGGAUGACGGUACCGGAAGAAUAAGCACCGGCUAACUACGUGCCAGCAGCCGCGGUAAUACGUAGGGUGCGAGCGUUAAUCGGAAUUACUGGGCGUAAAGCGUGCGCAGGCGGUGCUGUAAGACCGAUGUGAAAUCCCCGGGCUUAACCUGGGAACUGCAUUGGUGACUGCAGCGCUGGAGUAUGGCAGAGGGGGGUGGAAUUCCACGU